rnacentral:rRNA from 1 species
UAGUAAUCGCAGAUCAGAAUGCUGCGGUGAAUGCGUUCCCGGGUCUUGUACACACCGCCCGUCACACCACGGGAGUUGGAGACGCCCGAAGCCGAUUAUCUAACCUUUUGGAAGAAGUCGUCGAAGGUGGAAUCAAUAACUGGGGUGAAGUCGUAACAAGGUAGCCGUAUCGGAAGGUGCGGCUGGAUCACCUCCUUUCUAAGGA